rnacentral:rRNA from 1 species
UUCCGGUUGAUCCUGCCGGACUCCACUGCUAUCGGGGUAAGGCUAAGCCAUGCAAGUCGAAGGCCUCCGGCUCCGGGGGCCUGGCGUACGGCCGAGUAACGCGUGGCCAACCUGCCCUGCGGAGGGGGAUAACCCCGGGAAACUGGGGAUAAACCCCCAUAGGUGACCGGGUCUGGAAGGACCGGUCGCCGAAAGUCCCGGUCGGGGAUGCUCCGGCCGGGAGCCGCAGGAUGGGGCUGCGUCCUAUCAGGUAGUUGGUGGGGUAACGGCCCACCAAGCCUGUGACGGGUAGGGGCCCUGAGAGGGGGAGCCCCCAGAUGGACUCUGAGACAAGAGUCCAGGCCCUACGGGGCGCAGCAGGCGCGAAAACUCCGCAAUGGGCGAAAGCCCGACGGGGUUACCCCGAGUGCCACCCUCGUGGUGGCUUUUGCCCGCUCUAAAAAGGCGGGCGAAUAAGGGGAGGGCAAGUCGGGUGUCAGCCGCCGCGGUAAUACCCGCUCCCCGAGUGGUGGAGGCUAUUACUGGGCCUAAAGCGCCCGUAGCCGG